CAUUCAUAACAUUCAUCAGUUAAACAUGCACACUUACUACAAAGUGUCACCUUAACAGAUUAUGUUUUGUUUCUACCCACCGUUUCAGAUGCAACAGGAGGAUCUCUGGAGGUUUGUCCAGACUUGUGAGGACCACCGUUUCCCUCCUCAGCCCACACACCGAACACAACAUCUGCUCUCCGCCUGUCAAGAUGGUCUGCUCAAAGAACAGCGACAGACAAUCCUACGACAGAAAUAAGGGACGACACAAGGGUUAAAAGAGGAUCUGGAAGCACCUGCAGCUGUUCAAAGGUACCUGGAUGGAGCAUUUAAUGAUGUCUGUAGGAAUCGGCAGCGACAGGACAGUGAAGGCUUGUUUGCUGUGCGCCUGGUGGUCGCAGUGCAUGCAGAGGGUCUUGUAGCUCAGCUGGCCCUCAAACAGAUGUGAGACGAUGGUGAAGUCAGCGGCACAGUUUCUGUUCUGUUCUGGUCUCAGCUGACGUGUGGAGGAGCACGUCUGUCGCUUUGCAACCUUGUAAGCACAAAAAUCCAGAGUUAUUACGUCUUUAGGUGGAGUCAGAGGUGAGAGCAAAGUGACAGAGUAGAUGUGAUAUAUUCUGCUCAGAAAGUGAAGGGAACAUUUAAUCAUCACAUCCCAUUCUUUCUCGGUUUAACCCUCUUUGGUGCAAAUGAAAGUGACAACAGGUGGAAGGAGAGGCAGCAGCAAGGUUUGGCAGGUGUAAAAUAAUUCCUAGACCAUGACAAGUUGUUUUGAUCAGAAAGUAAAACGUUGUUCUUUUGUCAUUUUGGGUCUCGUUUUAGUAAUAUUUUGUCUUGUUCUUGUUGUUUUAUUGUCUCACUUUUGUCAUUUUUUGGUCUUGUUUUUGUCAUUUUGUGUCCUUUUUUUUGUCUCACUUGUCUUAUUUUUUUGUCACUUUGUAACUUUUUUGUCUAAUUUUUUGUCUCUUGUUUUGUUUCGUGUGGUUUGUCUCAUUUUUUGUCAUUUUGUUUCUCGCUUUUGCCGUUUUGUCUCUUUUUUGUCAGGUUGUAUCUCGUUUUUGCAAUAUUUUGUCCUGUUUUUGUUGUUUUGUCUUUUUUUGUUUGACUUUUGUUGUUUAGCUCAUGUUUUUGUCAUUUGUCUCACAUUUUUGUCGUUUUGUGUUUCCUUUUUGUCUGACUUGAGUUUUUGUCUUACUUUUGCCAUUUUGUGUUUUGCAUUAUUCGUUGUUUUGUGUAUCGUUGUCGCUUUGUGUCUUGUUUUUGUGUCAUUUGUCCAUUUUUUGGUUGCUUUGUAACUUUUUUGCCCAAUUUUUGCUCUUUUUUGUUUUCAGGUUGUUCAUAAUGUCUUGUGAAAAGAUAAUUCCUUAAAUGUGAUCAUUUUCAGAAAGGACUUUUUUGCACUAAAACAAAGGAAACAUUUGGAGUUGUUGUCGUCACGCACUACUUUAUAUUAAAUAACUCAGAAAGCCUUGGAGUCUUGAAUAUUGACCCUCAUGCAGGUUGGAUCAGCCUGUGUUUCCCUGUGUGAUUUUGAAUCCAUAGGGUAUUAAGGAUUCUGGUUUCCAUUUGCUGUUCUUAUGUCAUUUUGUUCAUCAAGAGCUGAUUGAAGUGCACCCUUCAUUUUUUUUGAGCAGUGUAUGUUGCUGCACCUUUUUGAGGUCGUCAUGAAGUGUGUUGAGGAGAAAGAGCAGCAGCUCCUGGGCGUCCUGCUGGCAGUAGUUGUUAAACUGGGGGAGGAUGGAGGACAGAACUGACCGGGCCUCCAGCGGGGCACAGCUGGAGCUUCUCCCCAGCCACAUCUCCUCCAGCAGGCGGACAAACACUUCAGCGAACCGGCAUUUAGACCUGCGUAAACAGAGGUUAAACCACUCAGCAAACAUGACUCAACACUGGAGUGAGUCAGGGGAACGGAGGCGGUGGGUGGUCUCACUUUGCCAGAUCUCUGCGUGUGUCCUGAUUAAGGAGAUGCUCUACGAGGGGCACGGUGGAGCACAAACACUGCAGCACAACGUUCAGGUAGCAGGAGUUCCCAGAGUUGUCUAAACCACAGACUCCCGGCCUGUUCCACCUGGUCUGUAGCUUCACUGCAGAGAUGUGUUUGUCGUUUGCCAUCACCUGAGCACUGCUGCUAGUGUUUGUCCUGCAGGAAUGAAGACAAAAUAGAAAUCAAGACUGUCCUUAUUCCUGUGCUUGUUUGUGUUGCACAUUGUAUUGGAACGGAAGAUGAUUAGAGCAGGGGUGUCAAACAUGAGGCCCGCGGGCCAAAAGCGGCCCUUCAGAGGGUCCAAUCCAGCCCUCAGAGUGUAAAAAUUACAGAGAAGACAUUAACUGCAAAUUGUAAAUUUGUAAAACUAUAGAUUUUAAAUAAUUUCUAGACCAUGACAAGUUGUUUUGAUCAUAAAGUAAAAUACUAGAUUGCUCAUUGUUCUUUUGACAUUUUGUGUCUCAUUUUUGGAAUAUUUAUUUGAAACCCAUGGAAUUAUUAUUAUAAUUUCUACGUCUGCCACGAAAAACGCAUUUUUGAUGCCCGAAGUAUACACGAAAACGCAUGAAAAUCGCCACACACACCUGGACCGGCGAAAAAUUUGACAUUUAGGGAAUGGCACGCGUGCAUGCCAAAAUGUCUCAAUAGCGCCCCCUGGAAUAUUGUGAAAAUUCAGCCCCCGGACCGCGUUUCACCUAGAGCUAUGAAAUUCGGUACGCAUAUGUAACUCAUCAAGACGCACAAAAAAAGCAUCUUGUAUCAUUACCCAUAAUCCAACAGGAAGUUGGCCAUUUGGAAUUAUAAGUCAUAUUUUGGACAAUUUUGUGUCAUUUUUGGACAUUUUUAAAAAUCUAUAAACUGAAACAGUUUAACCCCGAAAGAGCUCAAAUUUGGUCAAAAUGUACACCAGUCAUGGGUGAUCAAAAGUUAUCAAAACGCUCCGCAAAAGUCUGAGGGCGCGGAAAUGGCGACCAGCGGAACGUGGCCAUUUUGGAUGUCUCGCCAUGAAACAGGAAGUGCUUAUAACUAGCCUGUUCAUGCACCAAUCUGCCUUAAACUUUACAUGUGUGAUCAGAGCCUGGCCACAAUCACAUCCACACGCCGAUAUACACUCUCCGUUGCAGCGCCACCUGGUGGACAUGCGUGGGACAGCUGGGCCGCUCGGAUGCGAGGACCCGACCAACGCUGCUUGCAGCUUUAAUUUGUCUCGUUUUUGUUGUUUUGUUGUCUUUUUUAUCCGACUUUUGUCAUUUAUCUCGUUUGUUGUCAUUUUGUUUUUCAUUUUGUCAUUUUGUGUCUCAUUUGUGAUGUCUUGUUAUUUGUUAGAAUGUACUUUCUUGCACUAAAACAAAAGAAAAUUUUGGUUUGUGUUUAUUUAUGGGUUAAUAUGCUGUGAUUUUCCUGGUCCGGCCCACUUAAGAUCAAACUGGGCUGAAAGUGGAACCUGAACUAGAAUGAGUUUGACACCCCUGGUUUAGAAAAUUGAAGCAUUAUGCCAAAUGUGUUUUCUGUAGUUCAAAUAAUAGGUUGAUUAGUAUUAUUCUGGUAGAACAUAAUAAUUUAUCGAGCAAAAAUGUCAAACAUUUGCUUGAAUUUUCUUCUUUUUUAAUAUAAAUUAAAUAUAUUUGCAUUUUGGACUCAUGAAAUUUUAAGAUGUCUCCUUAGGAUCUGUGAAAAUGUGGACAGAUUUAAGUGUCAUGUCAGUUAUUGAUGGAAAUAAUCAUUAGCUGCUGCAUUAAUGUUAUUAAUAUCCAAACAUAUGAACCCAUUUUACAUUGAUUUAACUGCUGUACCAUAACCCUACAUACAGUAUAUUCAGUGUACUAUGUCUUACUAUCCACUGGAACUAUGCACACAAUGUUGAUUCUACCAUUAUAAUUAUUUUGUGCUGCCGAAGAACUUGAAUUCAGAACAACAGAGCCCUCCACUGUUUUUCUGAGUAUUUUUAGAGAUCAAGUGCUUUUUAAAAAUAGAAAUCUAUCAGUGCCUCAGAUUUGCCCUUUUUUCUGCUUGUUUUUUUCAUACAUCAAACAUCAUGGAGGCUAUUAUUAGUUUGAACUGAAGCACUCUAACAAACAACACUAACCUUUGCUUGGAAGCGUUUGCUAAUCUGGUUUCCUGGUAUGAGCAGCUGUUUAGUUGUGGCAGAACCGGCACGGCGACGCUGCUGUCGACGGCCAGCUGAGAGGCCAAAGUCCUGGUGAACUCCGUCAGGUUGACCUGCCGGCCCGAGCCCCGGCUCUGCAGAGUGCGGAGCACAAAUGUGUUGAUGCAGAUCACGUGUAGCGUCACCCAGAGGCCCGGUAGGAACACAUCGAUGACGGAGCCCUUCAGGUCUGACAGAGGAAGCAGAGCAGGUCCGGUCCAACCCUGCAGGUGGGAUAAUAGUUGAGAUGUCGAGUCCUCAGAUGUCCGUUUGUGCUGAGAGGACGUUGAACUCAUCUCUGGCCUUUUAGCAGCUGGAACGAAAUUAAUAUUCUCCCCAAAUCCAGAGAAGAUGUCUGAGAGUCUGCCUUCCAUCCAGGCAGAGCUGUCCAGCUGAACCAGGCAUCUGUGGUUGCAGAAAGGCCUCAGCAGGUGUUUGACCACCUGCUCCACUACAGGCCUCCUGCUGCGCCUCUGGAGUUGCUCUGGACUGUACAGAAACAUGUUACAGACAAACCCUGAGCUCAUGUCACACAGGAGGGCAACAUGUAGAGAGCAGGGGCCAUGCUGGUGGGAAAGUCUGUAUUUCUUCACAGCCAGGUUGCUGCCAGGUGUGUUUAAGGCCUGAUAACGUCUGGUCAGGUGGCUACAGAAAGCAGAGAGAGCUUCCAACUUGUCUGCAUCCCCCAGUCUGGUGAGAGACAAGAAGCUGGUCUGGAUGCUGUUCCUCUUCAGGAUGCCCUGGUAUCCGUCCAGCUGUUGGGUGAGCUCAGAGCCAAAGCUGCAGUUCUCUCCUGCAGACAGACCACUUCGCAGGACGAUGGAAAACCACGCUAAAGCCUCUGUGUACUCUUCCUCAGAGAGAUCCGUGCUCUGCUCUCUGCUCUGGCUGUGAGAUGAACGAUUCCCUCCUGUCUUCACACCAGCAGCUCUUCUAGUCAGCUCCUGAACAGCUUCUCUGUCCAGCACCUCCAUCAUCAGCUCUCUGGCUGUGUGGUAAACCUGGUAAUUGUGGCUGCUCUGGACCUUGAUUAGCGGCUUCACCUUUUUGGAUCUGAAGAUGUUUGGUAAACAAAGGUUGUCCCUCUGGGUAUCUCCAUGCUGCUCCUCCACUAGGUGGCACUCCUCUGACAUCCAGGUGCACUCCUUCACUGACAGAGCUUUGGCCUUCAUGUCGGCCUCUGUGCUUGGUCUAAGAAAAAUCCAUCUGAAGACAGUAGAGAUUUCUACCCCAGUCUGAAUCAGAACCACAAGACCAAAUGACUCUGCUCUGGCCUGCAGCCUGUUUAGUUUGACAAUUAAAGGAGAAGAUCACCAAAGACAGAACGCAGUGCACUCCAGGUGUUUCUUUCAUCCUAUGGGGUGUCUGGCAAACUGUUUGUACUGUACAUGUAUGUGACUGUUCAUGCGCUCUCAGGUGAAACUCAUGAGAGUCCUCCAUCAAGAUAAAUCACCAGGGAACCACGGUAGCCAGACAACAGUGUCUUGGCAACAUACAAACACGACACUUUGACCGCACUGCAGCUCUCAUGACACGUCUUUGUACUCUUGUGUGUGACUGCAGGGUUUUGCUUGACAUUUAGCAAAUCGUUUAGAAGCCGAGGGGAACCCCGCUGCUUCAUAGUGUAACUACAAGUCAUUCUCUGAGGUUUUAGCAACCUUUAACAAAGUUCACUGGAUGGGGUUCUGUAGAAUCAUUUUUUAGAAGCAGAUCUGUCUAACAACUAAAACCUCCUGUUGAGCAGCUGGUUGCAACAUCCAUACGUGUCUUUUCUGUUAAUAUUUUUAGUUUAGCUGUGUUGGAAAUGUCUGUUUUCAACAACAGAGUUUGUCGAUUAAUGGUUCAUUUCUUCAUGGACCAUGGAGGUCCGCAGAAGGCAAAUGAUAAAAAUAAGGAAAUGCACAGAACCUUUAAAGAAAGAAGGGAGGAUAAAAGGAAAGGUGAAGGGUGGGUUGAGGACUAGGAGGUGUGCAUUUCUACAUACUUUUGUGAGUUGGGGUUGUUAGAUAACGACCCUAUCUCCUCAAAACUAUUCACUCCCCGAAACUAAGCACCUAGUAACUAUGGUUACGUCCUUGUGCUGUGUAGAUAGAAGAUUAAAGCUGUUUCAGUUACAUCUGCAGCGGGAUGGACUAUACCAGGGCUGUCAAACAUGCGGCCCGCGAGCCAAAACCGGCCCUCCAGAGGGUCCAAUCCGGCCCUCAAAGUGUAAAAAUUCCAGAGAAGACAUUAACUGCAGAUUGUAAAUUUGUAAAACUAUAAAUUUAAAAUAAUUUCUAGACCAUGACAAGUUGCUCUGAUCAUAAAAUACUAGAUUGUUCAUUGUUCUUUUGUUAUUUUGUGUCUCAUUGUUGUAAUAUUUUGUCUUGUUUUUUUUGUCUUUUUUGUCUGAUUUUUAUCAUUUGUGUCACGUUUUUGUCGUUUUGUUCCUCGGUUUUGUUGUUUUGAGUUUCCUUUUUGUCUCGCUUGUGUUUUUUGUGUCAUUUUUGUCAUUUUGUGUUUUGCUUUAAUCAUUGUUUUGUGUAUUGUUUUUGUCAUUUCGUGUCUCAGUUUUGUCCUAUUUUCUCAUUUGUCCAUUUUUUUGUCAGUUUGCAACUUUUUGUCUCAUUUUUUUGUCAUUUUUUGUUUUGUUUUGUGUCAUUUGUCUCAUUUUUGGUCAUUUUGUUUCUUGUUUUUGUUGUUUGUGUGUCGUUUUUGUAAUAAUUUCUCUUAUUUUUUGUCUUUUUUAAAGUAAAAUACUGUAUUGUUCAGUUCCAGAUAGCUGUGACUGAAUGUUGUGUUCCUUUCUAGACACUCUGUGAUCUGGAAGUUGUAAUGUGGAAAUGAUAAACUCAGGCUGAAUGUUGUUGAAAUUGAACUUUAGGUUGUUCAUAAUAUUUUGUAGAAAGAUAAUUCUUUAUAUGUGAACAUUUUCUGAAUAUACUUUUUUACACUAAAACAAAGGAAAAAUUUGGAGCUGUGGUUAUUUAUCGGUUUAUAUCUUAUGAUUUUACUGGUCCGGCCCACUUGAGAUUAAAAUCAAUGAAUGUGGAACCUGAACUAGAAUGAGUUUGACACCUCUGGACUAUACUGUUCAGUAAUUUUCCAUUACAUACUUUACGUUUUCGCUGGGAUCUGGAAUAUAGUAAAAUCUCUUCAGCUUAACUCUACUCACUGCUACUGCUAGUGUUGGUCAGUAGUAUUUCUAGUCGUGAUGCUUUAAUGAUCUCUACAUUCCACCCUGCUCCUUAGAGAAGUCAUCACCGACCAGUAGGAGUCGCUGGUGCAGCAACAAGGAUAUACAAUUCAUUUGUUUAAGUUGAGAUCUUGCAAUUUUAGCCAUUCCAGAUAAAUUUUCAUAACCAAAUGUCGCACCAUCUAAAAAAAAAAUACAUAUUUCAAACAAAAGUGACUAUUUACUGCUAAAAAGGUCAUGUAAUCCUAUAAUUCAGCAGCUGAUCUUCUGUUCACCUCAUUCUCACAGCUUCACAAUUUGCCCAUCUUUGUUUUUGUCUUUCAUGGAAGAAUAUUUGAGCCUUCAGUUUGUGGAGGUUCACAUUCAGAUGUCGACGCUGACCGCUGCAACCACAGUUCGACCUGUUUGAUCAGCCAAACAUAAUGGAUCUAGGCAAGUAAAAAUGCUUUGCUGAAAGGUGGCUUCCUGCAUCACCUACAAGAAGCAUAAGUACUAGCAAAAUCUGCUGCAGAAAAUUCUAGCUUCCUUAAUGUCUGUCUUUGGUGAUUUAACCGCUUAAAAACUCAUCUAGAUUCCAUAUUUACAAGUUUUUUUCCAACACAAUAAUCCCCUCUCGUCUUAAAAUGGUUUCUCUCUCUCUCACUGCAGCUCGAGCACAUCAGCUCACCUACAGUUCUGCUCAGACUCAGUAAAACUACUCUUUUCUUUAAUGGCAAGCUGUAAUACUGGAGUAAAUAUCGCCCUACAAGUUGACAGGAUUGGUUUCUUAGGUUUGUUAUGUAUGAAGUCUGAAUACAUGUUUUUGAGACUGUCAUCGAUUUCCAAGGUGGAAAUGCUCAGUCACGGUUUUGAUGGCUUAUCUUAAUCAUCGGUCUUCUAGCAUAAAAAAAAAAAAAAAACUCAAUAUGGACAUGUUAACAAUAGAAAGAACAACUUAAUUUCUAUUUUUUUUUAUCUCUAAGACUUGGUAUCAAAACUGUUGCUCAUCAGUUAGUAAAAAUCUUUUUUUCUACAGCGAAGGAGCCUACGGUUAUAAAUCUUAGUAAGCCAUUGAAAGGUUCACACUUCACAAGAAUGAUAAAAUGAUAAACUGUAAAGUGUGCAGGGAUGAUUAGUAAAUCAUUUUUAAAAAGAGACCUAAGUUACUCAGUUUAUAAUCAAGCUUUGUACCUUGCACAUAUCUGUUUAUGGCCUCAUGUUCUCUCCUUUCAAAGUGCAAUUGACGCAAAUUAGAGCAUGCUUCCUGCUUUCCGAUGAGCAUAUUCCAUUUGCAGGUUUACAGUUUAACAACUAGGAAAAAAAUUUACCUUAAUGUGCACUCAUUGAAGUGGUGCAAUUGUGUCAAAUGUAUAUGAUGUUAGUUUAUCUGUAAAUGGCACACGUCAAUAUUGGUCUAAAUCAGGGGUGUCAAACAUGCGGCCAGUGGGCCAAAACCAGCCCUCCAGUGGAUUCAAUCCGGCUCGCAGGAUGCCUUUGUAAAGCAUAAAAAUUACAGAGAAGACAUUAACUGCAAAUUGUAAAUUUAUAAAUUUAAAAUAAUUCCUAGACCAUGACAAGUUGUUUGGAUCAUAAAGUAAAAUACUAGAUUGUUGGUUCGUGUAUAUUUUGGCAAUUGGAUAUUCCAUUCUGAAACUCUGAAAAAACAAAAAAUGAGUGGUUAUUUGAUUUUCAUUUUAAAAUACAAAAAUUGUAAUUGAAAUAAAAGGCGUUUUUCCUUUUCAUGAUGAAAAAGGGAUGUACGAAAUUUUAAAAAUGCUUUGAUUUUCAUUUUAUAUUUAGAAUAACAAAAAGUAAAAUCAGUAAGAGACAGAAACGAAAAAGGUCCGUUUUUUUCAUUUUCUGAGACCGGAAGUGGUCAUCAGCAAGUGUGGAGCCAAACAGAGUACGGUGCAUAGACUGUAUAUUAUUUUUUUUUUUGUUAGUUUUCAUGGUCAAAAUGAGAACUCAGGUGGCCGAUCUUAAAAUAAAUCAAUACUGAUUUUUUUUUUAUAGCGCGUUAAAGUUUUGCGAAGCCAGGGGGCGGGGCUACUUGACUGACAGUCUGGUCUGGAAUGAUUGACAGGUCCUAUGGAGGAGGCAGCAAAGAUUCUGCUCUCCUCGUUUGGACUAAUUCUGAUAUAAUAACUGUUGGUUUAUUUAUCGGUGGAGCAGCAGAACAUUUUCCACAGACAGUUUUCCUGCCCGUUGGCUUGUUUUAACCAGUUUUCUACCUUCGGCUGAUUCUACCAGCAGACACUGAAAGGACUCUGAUAGUUCGAGUGAAAGUAGCAGUUCCUCCUGAAGGUCAGAGAUUGCAACAUCUGAGGGCCUCUUCAAAAGAAGACGUAGUUGAUGAAGGCGUUCUGGAGCAGGACCAGAAAAACCACGACCAAGCAGCCUUGAGAUCUUAGGCAGCGUUUCCCUGAGGUCCCUCUCUAUCUCCCCACACAUCCACCAACCACUGGAACACAUCUCCAAAGUUCUGCCGGGCCGGCUCAGCUUCCCCUCAGAAGAAGUGCUGCCACCUGCCAGAUGAAGGAGCCUUUUGAGAGGCAGCUGGCAUCGUGAUUGGACUGUACUUUGGUCUGUUCCAAUCCAGCUUCAGCUGAAGAGACGGCAGGCGGGACGAGUCAACGGAGGCCGAGUGGAUGAAGGCAUGCAGCUGAGUACAAUCCAGAAAACAACAGAGGAGGAGUGCAGCAGCCCAGAGCCAGAACAAACGGAGUAGCAUCGUAUGUCUCUUAGAAAACAUCAUAGUAUAGCCUUUGGUAUGAAAAAACGCCAUCAUAUACAUCGUAUAUUGUACAAAUAACAAGUCAAAGGAAAGAGACAUACAUUGUAGAAUUGUAGUAAUUGUGGGCUGACUGAUUUACUGAUUAUCAGUAUUUUAUUUUUUACUGAUUUACGGUAAUAAAUAACUUUAAAAAUGGUGCUACUUUGGCUCUGAACCUUUAUCUACCUGUGUUCGCUCUGUCUUCUGGAGUGAUUUGAUUGGUUAUACGUCAUGAAUUAAACUCCUUUAACUUAACAUCUGUAAACAAAACCAAAACGUAUCAACAAAGUUUUCUGUUAGAGUUUGUGUUCUUCAAAGUUUAACUCCAAGAUUUUAAAUACUUUCAUUUACUGCAAAUGAAUAUCUACUCCAAAUGUCUCACUAAUAAUCAUUAUCGGCCUUAAAAACCCACAAAACACCCCUCUAUACUCGACCAGACUUAGUACAGUCCGGUUCCCCCUUCUAUAAAUCUGCUUGGAAUCUUCCACUUCCUGUUUGUCAAAGUGGCCUUCUACCUGGACAGGUUUUGUUGGAGCUCAUGGAACAAACAUUUUGGGUAACUGCACUUUAAUAUGGAUGGAUGACACUGAAUUAGAGUCUGUUUUAAUGAGACUGAGUUAAGAUGUGUUGUUCUGUCAUUAAGUAGUAAAUUAUUUCUCAGAAUUGACAGAGAAGAGUCUGAAAUGUUUGCUAGGUUAGCGUCCCACAUGUUCUUUGGCUCAGCUAAAGCUAACUCUCUCCAACUUCUGGAUCUCUUGAGUUGCUUGUUGUUAAAAUAUCUUGCUAGAGGUGCUGAAGCUCAGAAAGUCUGAGAUGUUUGUUCAAAAUAAGCUCAUUCUCAAGUCUGAUCUGAACUGUCCUCUUUUGUUUGAACUUUCCCUAAACUUAGGAGUUAAUGACAGAGCAGCACAUCCAGACUCAGUCUCAUUUAUGUAGAGAUUAAACUUCAGUGUCAUUCAUUGAUGUUAAAGUGCAGUUUUUCAAAUGUUUGUUGCACAUGCUCCUGACCAAACCAGUCCAGGUGGAAGACGAUGUGAAGAGAAAGCUCCAGAGGAUGAAUAUCACACAUUUACGUUGGAAAUAAAUGUCCUUUAAUUAGACAUUGUCAUGCAAAAGUUGGAUUUCCCUUGAAUGAUGUUCAAAUCUUUGUUGAGUGUUUUGUUGAUGUUGGUUUCUAAAUGUUUUUUGACACUCGACCCCAAAGAUUAAAACCUUUUACGGCUCACAAGCUGCAACAAUU